GCCAGGAAUAAAAGAUGAACCCCAAACCAGACACCUUCUCCCACCCACUAAGGGGCCCUGCUUCUCGAGGUACAGGGAGGGGCCGAAGACCGCGAGCCUCUAGGGGAAUCUGGCAAUGGAUUACCCCCACCCCCACCCCCGGGUCCCACUUCGUCUCCAGGGAGUGGGCAGCCUAGAAAAUUCUGCGGGCUCUGGACAGGGCAAACCCAGUAUUCUAAGCCACUAAAUUUCCCCGGUAUUUCUUCACCAGAUUAGCCGCAGAGGUGGCCUUUUUAAAAAUGAGGGCCAGGGCCGAUUCAGGAUGCCACCAGGCCUGGGGGCGGAAAGCUACCUGCCGGAGGGCGGCGCGGAGGAAGGCGCUGCGCUCUCGGGCUGCUGGGCAGCGGAGGCCGGCGCCCUCGGGCUCCCUCCCUCCCGGACCCGGGGCGGGGUAGGGUAGGGUGGGGUGGGGGGACACGACACACAGCGCGCGGUCCAAACCUUCGGAGGGCAUUCGGUGCGACGGCAUCCCCACGCCGCGGCCGGCCGGAGGGGGCCUCAGACAACACGAUGCCUGGAUCACAGUGAAAAGGGCCUUGCCCUGGCCGAACACAAGGAUCCACCCCUUUCGUCAACCUGUCUCAAGUAAACUCGAGGGACAGAUUCAUGGGGAACCAGACGGACAGAUGGACGAGAGCCAUCCAGAUGAUCACAGACCACAUUAGUGUUUAAACCUCAAAAAUGAGGAUCAUACUCCUCGCUUCUCCUGAGCGUAACAUUCCUGGACAUGGAGCAUGAGGGAAUCUACACAUCUCAGGCCACGAAGAGAAGGCAGAAGACAAGCCGCUGACACAAACCCCACCUGUAACACACCUCCACCAAUGUCCACACCAGAUCCUGUUCCCAUGAACUCAGAGCACAAGGCAGCUACUGAGGCAACCAGCACACAGGACUGAUGAGGCCUUUGAGAAGUGACCUUUGAAGAGAUCAUUGAGGAGAAGGGGUCAAUUGUGAAAGAUCUGGGGAAAGAAUUUUCAGACAUGGAGACAGAAAAGGGAAGAUCUUGGGUAAGUGUUCCAGUCAGCUGCUGCUGCAUUACAAACUCUUCCUUAAAUAGCAGUGUCUUUUCACCUUCCCUGGUUCUUAGACUGACUAGGCUUAGCCGAGCUGUUCCUCUUGACCUUCCUCAUGAGGUUGCAGAGGGCUUGCUACCUUGCUGGACUCUCCCUUGGAAAGAUAGCAGCCCAGUCUGCCUCCAGCUGUUCUAACCAUCCUGGCUGGGGCAUCUUGAAUCCCAGUCAGCAUCCACAUGACUGCUGGAGGUCACUGAGUAACCCCAGGUUGACCAGCAGAAGAACCACCCAGCUGAGACCUGCCCAGAUUACAGAAUCAUGAGCAAAUAAAUGGUUGCUGUUUUCAACCUCUAGAUUCUGGGGUGGUUUGUUACACAGUGACAUCUAACUGAUACACUAAGUAAGGCCCAUCUAUCCACUCCCCAUGUCCUAUCCUAAACUGGUCCUGUUCAAGAUCAGCCCUCAUUCUCUGGGCAAAUCUUGCUUAGAGCACAGUUUCCUCAUCUAUCACAAGGUAGGGUUGAUCUUAUUGCUGAAGUACCUUUCAGCUCUGAAAAUUCAAUAACACUGAAAGACCUGACUCAAAGUUAGAGUGAACGUCAGGGUGUGAAAACAACGACAAUGUAGUGCUCAAUUCUUAAGAAGGAUAAUCCAACAAUUGUUUUAACCACAGUGUUGAAAACAUCUCAAACUUUUCAGACAGGAAGCUAGGUGAAACUGGGUUUCCUGUGGUUGAGAAAGGACAAUUACAAAGUUACAACACUCUAACUUUGAAAACAAAAGGCUCAAACAGGAGACUUUCUUGAGAGAUGGUGACUUAGUCUGCAUCUCUAUUUUUCCCAUAACAAUCCAAAGACAGGGCUAGAGCAGUGUGUCAAGGAUUUGUGAGCUGAAACACAAGAGAUAUUCAAGAGGGAAAGUUGAAAUGGGAAAUUUAGAAAUCAGUAAGUGCAAUGAAAAAAAACCAAUUCAGACUGUGGCAUAAGUAAAUGGGAGAUAAACCUUUACACUAGAGGAAAUGGCACGUUCAAUAAAUCUACCCAGAAAUCCAACCACACAAAUUCCAAUUGCAUUCAAGGGACCCACCUACCUCUGAUCUGAUGAAGCCACCCCUGCCAGGAGCUCACAGCCAUCAGGUGUGAACAAGGCUACCCUGGACUCACUUUUCCACCUGCCCUUGAAUCUGUCUCUGCUCCCUUCUAUCUGUGUGAGCUGAGCACUCCAUACCUCAGUUCCUCCUUUGGUUUCCACAGUGCCAACAGAGGUACCUUCCUUCUCUUUUCUUCUAUUCCAACAACACACCUGAACGGUGUCUGGCCUUGGGUAAGUGUUUGCUGUCAUCAGGGUCUUUAGCCUUCUUUCUUGCACCCCCAUGUCUAACUGAUCAGUUCUUGUUGACUCCGUUUCCCCAAUGGAUCUCAAAUGCUUCUAUUCCCCCACUUCCAUGGUCAUCACCACAGUCUGGACAACUACCGUCUCUUGCCUGGAUGACCACAGGCUCCUUCAGACUGGUGUCCCCAUCUUUAAUCCUGCUUCCCUUCAAUUCUGUCUCUACACAGCAGCAUGGAUGGCCUUUUAACACAUAAGAAAGACCAUGCCAUUGACCUACUCAAAACCCUUCCCACUGCACACAGAAUAAACCCAAACUCCAACCCUUACCCACAUGGCCUGGCCUUGCCGCUCAUCCCAACCUUACUCCCAACUCUCUCCCCUGCUCAGGACCCUGGAGACUCACUAGCCUCUUUCUCUUCCAAACAUGGCUGGAUUGUGGCUGGUGUGGGUUUUUGGCAUUCGCUGUUCCCUCUCCCUGGAAUUCCGCCAACAGGUCAACCCCUUCUUGUAUUUUCAGUCUCAAUUCAAAUGUCACCUACACAGGUAUUCCCUGACCAGCCAGUCUCAAGUAGCCCUGCCUCGCCACCUUUGUCGCAUCACCCUGCUUUAAUUGAAUCACAGCACUUGUAUCUCUCUGAAAUUGUCUUUGUUCAUUUAUUUGUUUACUUCUUCAUUGUCUACGUCUUUGCCUCACUCAGAUGUACACACCCAUGCUUGCUUGAAGGCAUGCACAUACACAUACAUGCACACACAUGCAUCUGCCCUUACACACACACACAUACACAUGCCCUGUGGAAUGUAAACCUCCUGCCUCUGUCUUCUUAGUUCUGUACCUCUCAGCCCCUGGAUUGGUGCCUGAUACUAGGAGACCCUCUCAGAAAGUAUUUGCUGAAUGAAUGAAUGAGACUAAGCAUCUGAUUUGAUUUUCAGCUCUUUCACUCACUAGCUGGGUAUUUGAGAAAAUCCCUGAGUUUAUCCUAAUAUUAGUUUCCUCUUCUAUUAAAAAUUGAGAUAAUAAUUGUGUCUGUUUUAUGGGGUGUGUUGAGAUCUACCUGAAAAAAACACGUUAAAUACUGAGGCAAGUACCUGACAUGGAGUAAGUGCCCAAUAUUAGUUGUUCUGGUGGUGAUGGUAAUAGUGAUAAUGGUGGUGGUGACAGUGAUGAUGGUGUUGAUUAUGGUGGUGACAGUGGUAAUGGUGGUGGUGAUAAUGAUAGUGAUGAUGGUGAUAAUGGUAAUGAUGGUGG